CCCUCUUAGCACUAUGAACAAUACAAAAGCCUGAGUAUGGGGAAUUUUCCCAGACUCUUUUCUGUCUGCUUCCAAUUCUAAGAAAAGAAAAUUAUUGAAGUGGGCGUGUAAAUACCUCCUCAAGUUCUCCUCACAUUUAACAUUCAAGCUUGCAUCCCCCCCUUCCCCCCCAAGGCAGCCCUGUCAUGUCCAUCAGCAUUCACAGCUCCCAGCUGGGCCUUUAGAGAGGCUUUCAAUGAACUUUCUUGUCAUGUUCCUUGUCUGUUUGGGGAAUCUGAAGAAGACAUUUUGGAGGGGUCAGAACAAAAAGAGCACCGGAAGGGGAGAGUUGGAGUUUCCUGAGAAGGGACACAGCAUUGGCCAGAGGAACCCAUGUCUUCAUGCUGAAUAAAGAAACUUGGUGAACACAAAAAUGCACAUAUGCAAGGGACAACAUUGAGGCUAAGGAAGAGGCUGAUGAGGCAAUGUCACCCCUUGGAAUGAAUCUCUUAAGCAUACCACUGUGCUCAGUGACACACUUCAAUAGCUUCUCUGCUUCUUGGCCUGUGACCUUAAAGGACAUGUUCUCAGUUUUGAAGAGUGA